rnacentral:rRNA from 1 species
AAAGGCAUCGCUGGGUAGCUAUGUGUGGACGGGAUAAGUGCUGAAAGCAUCUAAGCAUGAAGCCCCCCUCAAGAUGAGAUUUCCCAUUACGCAAGUAAGUAAGAUCCCUCAAAGACGAUGAGGUAGAUAGGUUCGAGGUGGAAGUGUGGUGACACAUGGAGCUGACGAAUACUAAUCGAUCGAGGACUUAACCAAAAA